UACGAAGGGGGCUAGCGUUGCUCGGAAUCACUGGGCGUAAAGGGUGCGUAGGCGGGUCUUAAGUCAGGGGUGAAAUCCUGGAGCUCAACUCCAGAACUGCCUUUGAUACUGAAGAUCUUGAGUUCGGGAGAGGUGAGUGGAACUGCGAGUGUAGAGGUGAAAUUCGUAGAUAUUCGCAAGAACACCAGUGGCGAAGGCGCUCACUGGCCCGAUACUGACGCUGAGGAGCGAAAGCCAGGGGAGCAAAGCGGG
rnacentral:rRNA from 1 species